GGAUUAGAUACCCUGGUAGUCCACGCCGUAAACGAUGUCUACUAGUUGUCGGGGGACUUGAUCCUUUGGUAACGAAGCUAACGCGAUAAGUAGACCGCCUGGGGAGUACGGCCGCAAGGUUAAAACUCAAAUGAAUUGACGGGGGCCCGCACAAGCGGUGGAGCAUGUGGUUUAAUUCGAAGCAACGCGAAGAACCUUACCUACUCUUGACAUCCUGCGAACUUGGUAGAGAUACCUUGGUGCCUUCGGGAACGCAGAGACAGGUGCUGCAUGGCUGUCGUCAGCUCGUGCCG
rnacentral:rRNA from 1 species